UACGGAGGGUGCAAGCGUUAUCCGGAUUCACUGGGUUUAAAGGGUGCGUAGGAGGGCAGGUAAGUCAGUGGUGAAAUCCUGGGGCUUAACCCCCAGACUGCCGUUGAUACUAUCGGUCUUGAAUGUCGUGGAGUGAGCGGAAUAUGGUCAUGUAGCGGUGAAAUGCUUAGAUAUGAACAUAGAACACCAAUUGCGAAGGCAGCUU
rnacentral:rRNA from 1 species